AGUGAACGCUGGCGGUAGGCCUAACACAUGCAAGUCGAACGGCAGCACAGUAAGAGCUUGCUCUUACGGGUGGCGAGUGGCGGACGGGUGAGGAAUACAUCGGAAUCUACUUUUUCGUGGGGGAUAACGUAGGGAAGCUUACGCUAAUACCGCAUACGACCUACGGGUGAAAGCAGGGGAUCUUCGGACCUUGCGCGAUUGAAUGAGCCGAUGUCGGAUUAGCUAGUUGGCGGGGUAAAGGCCCACCAAGGCGACGAUCCGUAGCUGGUCUGAGAGGAUGAUCAGCCACACUGGAACUGAGACACGGUCCAGACUCCUACGGGAGGCAGCAGUGGGGAAUAUUGGACAAAGGGCGCAAGCCUGAUCCAGCCAUACCGCGUGGGUGAAGAAGGCCUUCGGGUUGUAAAGCCCUUUUGUUGGGAAAGAAAAGCAGCAGGUUAAUACCCCGCUGUUCUGACGGUACCCAAAGAAUAAGCACUGGCUAACUUCGUG
rnacentral:rRNA from 1 species